rnacentral:rRNA from 1 species
GAACAAAGAAUGUAUUUGUGCGGAGUAUAGAUUAUCAAUCUUGAAAAGGUUAGCUGAGUGGCGGUUAGGUUUAUAAAUAGGGUANCCUGUGUUUGAAACGAUACUGCACGACUAUCUUUCCAACUCUAGACAUAAUCUUGCACACCGCCGUCGGAAGAGUUAUUCUAAAGAAUCUAUCCUACUAUUAGACUUUAAGUCAGGUCAAGGUGCAGACUAUGUGUUGGUUAACAUGUGCUUUGUUUUUAUUUUAAUUACGUGUAUUGAAAUUUACACUACUAUUAACUUAUAAGUAAAUUAAUUUAAUUAUAAUUAAUUGAAUAGAUCAAUCCUAAUGU